AUGCCCCCAUGCCGCCGGGUAAGGAGCUACCCAUAUCUAACUCCGGAGCGCCGGCUGCAGCUCCUUGAUCAGAUCCGGGCAAGGCGCGAAGCCCAGAUCGCCGCGGGGCUACUUCCGUAUGCGAUGGAUCCGAAGGAGUAUGAGGUUGAGGAGGAGGAGAAUCUGGGGGACACUGGGGACGUGAUCUGCAGGCGGAGCAGCAGGCCAGCUUGGAGUCGGAUGCGAAGGCCAGACGUCGUCGUCGACAGGAGAUGGAGGCGGAGCACGCCGCGGAAGUCGACGAGUUGCUCGCGUACAUGGAUGAGGAGGAGGAGGAGGAGGAAGAGGAGGAGCCGGAGCCCUCCUACGCGCUCGUCCAGCCGGCGCUCGACACCGACGUCAUGGACAACUCCGACGAUGAUCGUAGCUAGCGUGUCGCAGUAUGUACCACCUCCGUUCUGA
rnacentral:rRNA from 1 species